CUGGAAUGAGAUAUAAAUUGAGAGUGGCUGUUUCCAUCUAUAAAUGUACAGUCUCUGGUUCUGAAAAUUGCCAAAAUCCCAAAAAUUCCAAACCAAAGGUAUGGCCGUCGAGAGAAAUUAUAUUACUUAUUAUAUUAUAUAUACUGUGUUAAUGAACAUGUUACAUUUCAAUGAACAUCGAAGACAGCAAAUAUAUUUAUUUUGUGCAACAUGUUAAAAUAGAAAAACACUUUCAGUUUGUUUAAACAAUAUAUGGCAUUUUAUGCUAGGUACUAUGUUAAAUUUUCUAAAUUUUGCAAUGUUAAUGAUUUUUCUAAAACUAAUUUAAUAAAAAAAUCCUUAAAAAAAAAACCCAAUCAAAAUUACAAUAACAUAUAUUUAUUGAAAAAUGCAAAAAGUGACUGCAUAAAUAACAAAUUGUAAAAUUUUGUACAGAAAUCAUUUUACACAGUGUUUUUUAAUAAACUCUAAAAUGUAGUGAAUUAAAAUCUGAAUUGCAUAACUGAGGCUAAACUAGAUAAACUGUGACGUUAGCUUAGUUGGAGAACCCAAAUCAGCUAUUUUAGUUUAAAAUGUGCUGUUUGUAUUUUAAUGGUUUAGUGAGUAAACUUUACAAAUCAUAAUGCUGUAAUCUGUCAAGACAGAAAAUGUAUAUACUCACAGGACUUCCAGGAUAUAAUUUUUUAUGUCAAACGCUAAACAUGACACACACAGGGCACCACGACCUCGUCAUUUUUUGUUUUGAAGUUGUAAUGGUCUGUAUGUGCAACAUUUCAGUAUGAACCAGAUCUCUUUGUCCAUUACUGGGGGACGGUGUUCAUGGUUCUCCUGACACCAUAACCACUACAGCAGGCUGGAGUAACCCUUAAAUCAUUGUGCAAAAUAUUUUUCAUGAAUGCCAUAACUUUAAUCUUAGAGAAGGAGUAUGAUGUGGAGUAAUCAAAAUCAUAGCUUGUCCUUUUCUAGCAGUACACAGAGUUCUCAAAUACAUAAAAAAUUAUAAGCUACAUAUUUAACAUUUAGGAAUAAUGAUUGAUGCUUAUUAAAUAUGCAUGAUUCAAGGAUUUAUUUUACAUGAUACAAUCAGUGGGGUUGCAAGGUGUGUGUGGGGGGAGAAGCGAUUCACCCCAGAUGACACGCAUUGGGGGGCAGCUCUGCUUGCCAGGUCUCCGUGGUGCAGAGAGAGAGAGGGGAAGAGGUGAUGCAGGAGGAUGGGAAGUGAGGUCAUUUCUUGUGCUCUCCUGUCCUGCAGAGUAAGGAGGAAGAACAGGCUGGCAGAGACAUCAGGUAAAUUCUUCCCUGCACAGAUCCCCUCCUCAGUGCACAGAUUCCCUCUCCCCCCCUGCCUCCCUUACAUUCCCCCUCUCUUCCCUGAACUUUCAUGUAUCCCCUUUAUCUCUGCCUCCCCUGAACUUUCACAGAUCCCCUAUAUCCCUGCCUCCCCUGCACACAUCCCACCUCCCUCGCCUGCACAGAUCCCCCUGCCUCCCUGACAGCCCCACUACCUGCACAGAUUCCCUCUCCCUCUGCCUCCUCUGUACACAACCACUCUCCCCCCUCCCCUGUACAGAUCCCCCUGCCUAUCUGACAGAUCCCUUCUCCCCCUGCUUCCCCUGCACACAUCCCCUUUAUCCCCUGCCUCCCCUGCACACAUGCCCUCUACCCCCUCCCUCCCCUGUACAGAACCCUCUUCCCUUUCCUCCCCUGUACAGAUCCCCCUGCCUAUCUGACAGAUCCCUUGUCUCACUGCCUCCCCUGCACACAGCCCCUCUCCCACUCCCUCCCCUGCACAGAUUACCCUGCCUCCCUGACAGUUCCCCUCCCUACACAGAUUCCCCCUCCCCCUACCUCCCUUGCAUACAUCCCCUCUCCCCCUUCCUCCCCUGCACACUAACUCCUGCCUCCUGACAGCCCCCCUCCUGCACAUAUAACCUCUCUCCUGCCUCCAUUGCACAUUCCCUCCCCGCACAGAUCCCCCCUGCCUCCCUGACAGUCCAGCUCCUGCACAGAUCCCCUCUCCCCUUGCCACCUCUGCACACAACCCCUCUGCCCCUCCCUCCCCUGCAUAGAUCCCCCUUCCUCCCUGACAGCUCCCUCCCUGCACAGAUCCCCUCUCCCACUUCCUCCCCUGCACACUGCCCCCUCCCCCCCAUUUAAAGGAACACUGUGCCCAAAUGGGCAAACAAACCCACCCCUAUUCAUUGGGUGUAUAUCUUUAAAAAGCUUGAAAAGGUUGUAAACUGCAGCCACGGACAUGGGUCGAGAUAGGGGCGGCAUAAGCUCUAGCUACUCCACUGAAUACCACCCUACAAUGUGACAUUUAUUGUGCCGUGAAAAUUGAGAUCUGGAAUAUAUAAGGAGUGACAAUACACAAAAGUCAUUCACAUCUCGUCAGAGCAGUAUAAUACCAAUGCUUUGUAAAGCUUACAGAAUUAACUUGAAAUCUUUGAUAACCAAAGCAAAAUUAUACACUGAGCAAUCUAGGCAACUGCCUAUGGGCCAUGGUAAGGUGAACAAAGCAUUAUAAGAAUUAUGGAAACCAAACAUACUCAUUGCAUUAAAAAUUUUGUUGUUUUUUUCUAUUUUAUAAAAUGUUCACUACUCAAGAUUUCCAGAAAAGUGACAAUAAUGUUCGUCUCCACGCUGUACUGUUCAUAUAUAUGGGUACAAUUUGUUUGAGGCCUAAAUAAGGGGUUAAUCACAGACCAGCUAGUUGUGGUGAACAGAAAGCAACAUUUACCAAAAUAGUCAUGUUCAGAAUAGAGAUUAUGAUAAUUAUUUUAACUUGUGUUUUCAAAUUGCUUAUUUAUGAAAUAACUGCCAAGUAUUCACCCAGUUCCGUUUUUAUUAGAUAUAUUAAUGCUUCUAAUGUAAUAUUAUGCAUUUACAGCUUAGUUCCCUUUAAAUAAAGGGCAGUUGAAAAAUGUAAAAAACCUAUUAUUCCCUUUCAUUUUGACAGAAAAAAGAGUGCGUAUUUCAAGUUUACACAGUUGCAUGGAAGAACUUGAUGGAGGUGACCAGGACACGUUGCUUUAACAGGAAGUGAAGAUUUGAAUUACCUUCCAAAAUAAUCAAUAUCAAUGUAUUUCUUGUAGAAUACAGCGUAAAUUGUAUCCACAUAUAUAGUUUCUAGGCACUGGAGUUAUAAAAUCUGUCAUUAACACCCAUUUUUAAGGCUUGUCAAAUUAAACUGGGCAGAAUGUAACAAACAAAAAAGAAAAGCACCACUCGAUUUGAAAUUUUAAUAAACACUCAAUGUAUAAAAGUACUUGAUUUGAUACAAUGAAAGUCGCACAGACAGUAAUAGGAAGAGUGGUUAUUGUUAUUUUUCCUGAUUGCGCAGACUAAUUCAGAAACAUGUGUAUACUUACACUGAAUGACUGUACAAAAAUC